GUUCUUAUACGCUUUCAACUUAAUUAAAAAAAAGUAACAAAACAAAUAUUGUAUACAUAAUAUAUUAUAGCAAGGAGGAAAACUUAAUAAAAUGAAAGUGAAAAUAAAAUAAUACGGAAAAAAAUAUUGAAAAAAUAUAAAUAGAAAAUAGUUAUCCUGUAUAGGUAGUACACAUAUAUAUAUAUAAACAUAGUAUAAUUUCAAUUGUUUCGAUUUUAUUAAAUUAUAUAGAGAAAAAUAUAAAAAUAUUGAAUUAUGAAAAAUUGAAAUGAAAUACUAGUAGAUAUAAAAAUAUUUGAAAUUUAUAAAAAAUAUCCUUUUUAGUCGUUUUUCUUGUUAAACAUAAAUUUUAGUGAAUACGAAAGUAUUAGAGGGAAAAAAAAAUUUUAAUAAAAAAGUGAAGAAUGUUUUUUACGUUUCAAAUAUGAAGAAGAAAAAAUUAUUGUAAUAGAAUAAAAAGAAAAUAAAGAAAAAAUAAACACCGAAACAGAUAAAAAGGAUAAAACAAGUGUAAAGAAGCGAGAAAAAAAUUUUUUUUUUUUGAACUUCGAAUAUAGAUAGCAACAUAAAUAUUUCAAAAAUUUUUAUUAAAUUUUGAUUUAAUGUAUAAAAUUCUUAAUAAAUAAAUUUUCAACAAUAUCACUAAUAUACAUUAAUAAUUUAAACAAUUAAAAAUAUAAAAGAAAAAAUAUUAAAUCUUAAAUAAAUGCUGAUAUGAAUAGCAAUGAUAUAAAAUCAAAUAUAAUUAUUGGGUCUAUAUAGUGAAAUAAAAUUAUAGUUAAAAAAAAUUAUUAAUAAAUAUUGUGACGAGUGUUUCAUAAAUUUCUGGUUCCAAUUUCAAAAAUUCUAAUCAUGAAUCUAAUACUGAGAGUUUUGUGAAUUAUUAAAUUUUUUUAAAAAUCAAUAAAAAAAAAGCAAAAAUUAAUUAAUAAUUUUAAAUAAAAAAGUUAGAAUUCUUAUACAAUUGAAAAGUUAAAAAAAUUUAUUGUAUUACAAAAAAGUAUAAAAGUUAAUUAAAGUUUAAUAACAAUUAAAAACGUUAUAGAGAAUGGAUAUCCUUUAAAAACAUCUAAUAAUAUAAAUUACAUGUAUACAGCCACAGGAACCAAAUUAUCUAAUUAAAAACACAAAGCAAAUUAUUAAUUAGCCAUUUAACAUGAAAACGUAAAUUUCUUCAUGUGCAAAAAUAUAAUUAAACUGAAACAUAUCAUAAAUAAUUGUUGAAUAAACAACAAUUAUGCCUAUGCACUUUAGUCAAUUUGUGAUACUCCUUUUUUUGGGU